rnacentral:rRNA from 1 species
GACGUAGGGGGCGAGCGUUGUCCGGAUUUAUUGGGCGUAAAGCGCGCGUAGGCGGCCCGGAAAGUCGGAUGUGAAAACCCGGGGCUCAACCCCGGGCCUGCAUCCGAUACUCCCGGGCUGGAGGCAGGUAGGGGAGAUCGGAAUUCCUGGUGUAGCGGUGAAAUGUGUAGAGAUCGGGAGGAACACCGGUGGCGAAGGCGGUCUUCUGGACGGUGACUGACGCUGAGACGCGAAAGCGUGGGGAGCGAACAGG